GUCGAACGAGACCUUCGGGUCUAGUGGCGCACGGGUGCGUAACGCGUAGGCAAUCUACCCGAUACAGGGGAAUAACACGGGGAAACUCGUGCUAAUACCGCGUAAUAAAUGAGAAGGCAUCUUCUUAUUUUAAAAGCUUCGGCGGUAUCGGAAGAGCCUGCGUCCUAUUAGCUAGUUGGUAAGGUAACAGCUUACCAAGGCGACGAUAGGUAGGGGAACUGAGAGGUUGAUCCCCCACACUGGUACUGAGAUACGGACCAGACUCCUACGGGAGGCAGCAGUGAGGAAUAUUGGUCAAUGGACGGAAGUCUGAACCAGCCAUGUCGCGUGUCGGAAGACGGCCCUCUGGGUUGUAAACGGCUUUUCUUUGGGAAGAACACGCUCUUGCGAGAGCAACUGACGGUACCAAAGGAAUAAGCACCGGCUAACUACGUGCCAGCAGCCGCGGUAAUACGUAGGGUGCAAGCGUUGUCCGGAUUUAUUGGGUUUAAAGGGUGCGUAGGCGGCUAUUUAAGUCGUGGGUGAAAGCCCGUCGCUUAACGACGGAAUUGCCUGCGAUACUGGAUAGCUUGAGUAUCGUUAAGGUUGGCGGAAUGGGAGGUGUAGCGGUGAAAUGCAUAGAUACCUUCCAGAACACCGAUUGCGUAGGCAGCUGACUAGGCGAUAACUGA
rnacentral:rRNA from 1 species